CCAACAUUACUAAAUAUCCUCAAAUCUGUUAUUACAUAGUUAUUACAGACUAAAAUAGCCGAAUGAAUUACAUAAUGGUAAUAGUUACACUAUAGGGAGCCUUCAUAGGCCCAAAUAAACAUAGGAACCAAGCCUUCUGUCCAUAGCCACUUUAAAGCACAACAUAUGGGUUCAUAGCAUAUUAGGACCAGGUUUCGAAUAUGUCAAAAUUCCCAAGGGCCUCAGGGGACCCCGGACAAUGCUCACAUCAGAACCACAUUCAGGAGACAAUUCAUAAAAGAUUGAAAAACCAGCCCCCAGUUUGUCAGAGUUUAAAGGAGUCUCAAGGACCCUAGGCAGUGCUCACUGGAGUGGUUGAGAACCUAAGGGACUAAGAGCAGGGGUUUUGAAAAUAAGUACAUAAAAGUAAUAAAGGGAAGGUUAUAAAAUAGUUCAAUUUCAGAAGAAGGAAAGUUCAGAACACAGAGUUGCAGGCAAAACUGCACCAGGAAGCAAACAAGGUUCAUGUUCAACAUAUAAUUCAAAUAGGUUGAAAUCUAAUUAAGCUAAUAGUCAUGCUAGUAUUCAAAAUAGUUAUGGCUUAAUCAUAGAAACAAUUAUCUAGAAACAAUUGAGUUAAACAAACAUGACAUAUGAGUUGGGCAACAGGCUAACUGAUUACAUGUUUAUAGUGCGCAAAGUUCAUAACAGGUAGAGGAUUGACAAGUAAUACAUGAAACAAGUUAAACCUUAGGCUAAAUCAUAGGAGGAUUCAUAUUUUUCGAAAAAAAUUAGUCCUAAGUUAACAGUGUUACUAAAUGGAUCACAUAAUCACAUAAGUGACAAAGUCAUGCUAGGAAUUGAAACAGACUAGUCAAGCAGAGCAUAGAGAAUAAUAUUGCAAAUGGUAGGGCAUACCAAUUAAGUGAGAAAGCAAGUAAGUAUACCACAACAAUGAGGUUCCAGAAUAAUUUUGGCCUUGUCUUUCAUCCUGCCAAAAUCAAGAGAUACUUAGCACAUAAAUCAGAUUAAGAGAGCAAGAGAGAGCUUAAGUUUUAAGUGAGAGUAGGAGAGUGCGAGUCUUCUUUAGAGGGAGUGGGGACGGGGUUUAAAUAGUACUCAACUAGGUAGAUAAACAAGGUAAUGAAUCAGUCUUACACGAAUAAGGAAUAAGAAUAACUCUAAAAUCAAUCAAAGUUGGAGUUCAAUCAAUUAGCAGCAUAUAAUUAUGCCAGUACUACUUAAAUUAAGGAAAGCAUUAUACAGAAUCAAUCAGUAGUCAAGUACUAGAUAAAUUAAGGUAAGGAAAUAAUGAGAACAGGCAAAUCGAACAAAAUAAGAAAAUAUCAGUAUCAUACAAGAAAGGAAAAGUUGGAAUCUAAGCAAAGAUGUCUAAAUCCUAAUUUGUGGUAAGUAAAAUUAAUCAACAAUUAAUGCCAGAGUUAAGGACAAAUAGACAAAAAUAUCAAGAGAAAUAAUUAAACAAUCGAAACCCUGAAAAAUAUGCGAAAUACAACGAUAUAUAGUUGGAAAUAAUUAGGGUAAGUGAAAUCAGUCAGAAGUAAUAAAGGAAACCGUAAUAGAUACAUAGAUAUGAAAUAACAGAUUUUGUUCGUCUUUGAAAAUUAAAAACCUAAUUUUAGGGUAAAUAAAAUCGGUCAAAAAUAGUAGAGAAACUAUAAAACACAGAGAUAGAGAUACUGAAGCAUUAAAGGAAAAAUACUAGCAUAAAAAUCGUUUCAGAUCUGAAAAGAUCUAAACCCUAAUUUUAGGGUAAGUAAAAGAUUCAACCAAAAAUAGACAGAUUCGAUGAGUAACAAGGUAAAUAUAGAUGGAGAAUAACAUAAAUCAAACAAAAAUUGAAUCAAAUCUGUUCCGAAUCAAAAUCUGCAAUCCCAACUAAAAGAUACAAAAAUAUUCGUACUCACAGAGGUUAGGAUGAACACAGACGGAAACGACCACAAUUUAAGAGAUUUUGAACCAGAUCUAGUUCUAAUAUCUCGAGAUUAGCUUGCCAUUUGAGGCAAGCCCGGCAAGUAAUACCAAAAUGAGUAGUCGGUAAAGAGGUAAGACCAGAUAUGGUAAGGAAUCAAGAAAUGAUUCCAUUUCUAGGUAGGAAUCAUAGGGAAAUGGUGACGGCGGGUUAGGGGUUGAGAGGGUGAGGGGUGAGGAGAUGAGAGGAUUAGUGGACGACGGAUGGUGUAAACUGAAUUAAUGUUAGGGGGUUUAGUAUAAUUAAAAGGGUGUGGGUGAUUGGGAGCCGUUGAUCUUCUGAGAUCAACGGCUAGGAUUAGAGAUUAUGGCCGGGCGGGUUAAUUUGGACGGGUUUGGGUCUGGG
rnacentral:lncRNA from 1 species